UUCCUCUCGGCUCUUUUCUUCCCUCUCGAUCGAUCAUAGCUUCUUCUCUGGACAUUCUUGUCAUCAAGUGAUUCUUCUCAUCGAUCAUAGUCAUUCUCCUUCAUCAUCUGGAACCAUCAUCUUCGUUCGUCGAUCCAUCAUCUUCGUCGCUCAAACCCUAGGAGUCCUUGCCUCCAAUCGUGGUCUUCCAAGGUGUCGUUGUCGCUGUGUGGUACCCGUGUUCUCCCCCAACAUUUUUCAUUUCGCGAAUUUCGUACGAGACUGAAGAAGCAAUUCCUAAAGACAUUCAACCCUAGGUAUUGUUGUCGAAGCAUUGUCAUUUUUCCUCUGUGUCUAUGACCACCGACUCACCUCUGCAUCUUCAAACUAAUCUCCUUCAUCUCUCCAUUGUGUGUCGUUUGAUGUUGUGUGGCGUUCGGUGACGGAGUUCGUCAGAGAUGGUGACGAAGUUUGUUGUUGUUAUUGGUUAAGGUGACCCUCACUGGGUCCUAGUAAGUAGCCUCUUUGUUCGUUCAAAUGCUAGGAGUCCCUAGCCCGACAUUGCAAAAACUCGUGAACCCUAAUCCCUCUUUUGUUUCUUUCAUUGGCACAUAAUGCUUUAUGGUUCGGUUCGGAAGUUCGAUUGAGGCGAUUAUAUUGAUGUUUAAGAAGAUUCGAAGUGGUAUAAGCUUGCGUUUCCUGAUGCUGUGUACUUGGUUGAUGCAAUUGAAAGGGGAGAAGACCUUAUCAAAGCAUGAGCUGAAUCUUACCAAACCUGGUGACGCAAGUCUCCCAUAAGGAAUGAAUUCAAUGUAACAACCAAAGAAGUUCUUAGUCAAGCAGAUUUCAGGGAGAAGAGCACGGUUGAGAGAAUGAGAAGUGUUACUCAGCAAAAGUUUUCGAACUUGACUUCACAUUUUUACAACAAUGGCAGGCACUGCCACAAGGCCUUUGCAAUCAAAUGCAACAUCAUCAACAUCAUCAAGACUUUUCUAUUCACUUGGUAAAUCUUCUACUCAGCAAUACAAGAAUUGAAGAUUCUUUAUUUGGGGUUUAGAGCCAUCGCCUUGAUGAUAAAUGGCUAGUUAGUGGUGCUGGUGGAACAAUUCUUAGAUAGUUUUUCAUAGAUAACCAAUUGUAUAAAUAGUUUAAUUUACUAUUAUGUUUACCAUAUUAUGAAUUGUACUACUUAUUUAUGAAUAUAUUUGACUUUUAAAUGUGAAAUGCUUGAGAUGUAAUUUGACAAUUGUGUUUGACUCUUUUAAGUUAUAUGUAA